GCCACAUCAGCAGGUUUGUAGGCCCCGCGUUUAUUUUUUAAAAGCCCAUAAUCUUUGUAAGAUAGCUAUGAACAACAAAAUACACUUUAAACAAGUGGUCUAAGGCUUCUAAUUAGGAACACAAGUUUAUGGGUUCAAACCACACAGCUGCCAUAUUAUAUGGGUCUCACUCAAAGUAAUUUUUUUUUUAUUUUUUUGAUAUUAUGUAAUAUGAUAAUGAUAAAUGGGCUUCUUCAAAAAAUAAAAAAGUUUGAUAUUAUGUUAUGAUAAAUGGGUUUUGACUCUUGAGUUUCCAGGAAAGUAAGAAACAGCUUCUCUUCGUAAAUUUCUCCAUUUCCCCAUCUUAAAUCAAUUCAUUAUUAAUGGUCUCGAUUCGUAACACCUCCUUAAAUCCUCCUUAUAUAUACUUCAUCUUAAACAAAGCAACCCUUCAU
rnacentral:lncRNA from 1 species